AUCAUAGUGUAAAAUGUAGUUUGCUAUUUCUUUUUUACUUUAUUUGUUUUAUUUUGUAGCUCCCUAUUUUUAUAUUCUUAAAAAUUAUAAUUAUUUAUGCUAGUAGUAUAAAUCUAGAAAAAAAAAAUUUAAUUUAAUAACAGAAUUUUUGAUCCAAUAUUUUUAAUCGACGAACGUAUAAUUUUCAUAUAAAUUUCGUAUCCGAAUAAUUAACGAAUUUUUUAACAAAUUUUUUUAAGCCGUAUUUUUUAACGAAUUUAAAAAUUAGAUACGAAUUUUAUUCGUAUUAUACUUUUACCAAAUUUUUGCGGAAUCCGAAUUAAUUAACUAUGAAAAAAAAAAACCAAUCA
rnacentral:lncRNA from 1 species